rnacentral:rRNA from 1 species
AACCCGACUCCAUGAAGCUGGAUUCGCUAGUAAUCGCGCAUCAGCCACGGCGCGGUGAAUACGUUCCCGGGCCUUGUACACACGCCCGUCAAGCCAUGGAAGCCGGGAGUGCCUGAAGUGCGUGAGCGCAAGCAGCGCCCUAAGGUAAAACCGGUGACUGGGGCUAAGUCGUAACAAGGUAAC